rnacentral:lncRNA from 9 species
UAGAGAGCAUUGGUUUCAGCAAAAACAAGGUAUGUGCAGACAGAGCGAUGAGGAGAGAAAGGGCAGCGAACAUUCCAGGCAGACAAAACAUAACAUGUUUGGUUGAGAAACUCAUAAUUUUUAUUUAAAAUAUUUCUGCAGUGGGUGGGAGUGGGGUGUUAGGAUCAAGAUGGUGGAGUAAGAGGACAUGGAACUCACCACUCCCCAAAUGAACACAUCAGAAUACAUCUAUCUGAAAACUAACUGGAGACUGGCAGAAGGACCCCUGUACAACCGAUUCUGUCAGAGAUACACAAAGAAGCCAAUACGAAGGGAAGAAAAGCUAUCAGGUUGGGACCUGUGCCCCUGGGAGAGCACUUAAAGGGGGGUUAGGUGGAUGGAGAUCUUCCAAGGGGAGUGAGUUGUUCCAGCCACAGAUUGAGUGUCCCAAUCCGGAGGUCCCGUGAAGGAGACCGCUCCCUUGACUGGAUGGAGGACUGCUAACAGAAGAGCUGCAGGCAGCACAGAGGGAGUUCUGUGCCAGUGGCUGCUGUGUUUCCUACAACUACCCCACCGUAAGUCCUAACCAAGCCAACUAAUGCUUCAGCCCUGCUCCCUCCACAUCACAGUAAAUCUGCAAUCAGCUACUUUUUAAUUAUUGUAGAUCUAAUGAUUAAGGAGUACCUUGCAAUAAUUUUCCUUUCCUCCAAAAUAUUUGGGCUGUCCAUAUAUAUCUUCCCAAGUGUGUCAUCAACUUGGAUGUGUUUUACUCUAUUUUGCCUGAUAAUAGUCUGUGGUAUGCUACGAAUAAACCUGUGGUUGAAUAAACUCAUAAGUAACUUGAAUUAAAAUCUAGAGAAUUUAUGGUAUACUCGACAUGACAUGUAACUUUUAAAAUAUAUUUAUUGUGGCAGUUUUAAUGGAAAAAUGUAAAGCUUUGGAAGAAAAUGUCACCUAGUUUUAUCCUGUGGUUGGUGUCGAGAACAACAUCAGGGUCCGAAUAUCUGGAUGUUCUUCCACAAUAAUGUUUAGUAGCUCCUGUGUAGGCUUUAUAGUUGGGACUCAUUAGGUCUCUGUUAAUUUACCGGUUAUUUGAUACCUCUUCCUGAAAACAACUUAACUGCAGUUUUGCUCUUGGAAGGCUAAAUUGAUGAAAUAAUUUAUGGUAAAAUUUUUGUCCGUUUAUCAGAUAGAAGAACUCAUAAAUCUUCCUUUUUAUGGAACCUGUAAAUUUUUACAGCAUAUUUCACUGGAAUGAAUGAAUAUGGGGUCUGAAGAACAUUAUUUUAUUUCUGGUCUAUCCCUUACUUCCUGUGUCUCUUUGAGCUGGUUCCUUUUUUACUGUCACUAACAUCAUCUUUAUACUAUCUGGAGAUAACAUUUUCUUGAAUACUACUGAGAUCUAUACUGCUCUCUCUACAAGAAUAUAGCUCUUUCCUUUUGUCUACCCAACUCUACUAAGUACAAUUUUCUUUCCAGAAGUCUUCACCAAUUAGGCAAAUUAUGUGCAAAAAGAUGUAUUAUCUUCAGAGCAUCAAUAUUGGAAAUAGUACUGCCUUCUCAUUUCGUAUUUACUGAACAUAUAGAGAAUCCGUGGGAUAUAAAUCCUCAAAUCCUUGAGAAUUUAUCACAGUGGGCAAAUAUGAAUUCAGUUGAUAAUAAGAAGCUUAUAUGAUUUAGCUAUAGAGAAAUCCAAACAUAAAGUGAGAGAUAAUCUAAUAUGAAAUGAUACAGAAUGCCUCUUUGUAAUGGCAAAACAAUAAAAUAGAUUACCUUUACUUUAAUUAAGUAUAAGAGUGUAGAUUUGGUUCUGUUCUGAUAUUGAAAUUUUUCUCAUACCUAAUUUUUAUAUGAUCUUUAGUGUUUUUGUCAGAAUGAUGUAUGAUUUCUCUAGGAAUUACAUUUAUUUAGGGAGGAUGUAUGUACAGGAAAAAAACCUCUCCUAGAAGUUACAUGAUAUUUGCUCUAAAGUUUCAGAAACAUAAGAAAAAAAUGCAUUAUUCAAUAGAAUUUUCUUGGGACCCUUCUAUGCUCAAGGCAGAGUAAUAAGCAAAGGUUCUAUUCUUAAAGAAGAUAUAAUUAAGUUUUCAGAACAAAAAAGGUAUGAUUCAUAUUCAUAAUUUUGUUUGCCAUGUCUUCUUUCUCACUCAACUCUUUACUUUUCCCAUUAUACUAUAUAAAGAUGAGGCUUUUCCAUAAUGUAUAGGAAAGAGACCAUUACAAGUUUCCUGAUUUUUCUCCCUUUGCUUACUAAAUUUCAACUUAAUCUCACAAAAAUCUUCCUAAGAAGCAAAAAAGUAUUUAUUAAUAAACACCCAGUAAGGUUUAUCAUUAAACUCUUCUCCCAAGUAGUGUUGCAGACUCCCACAUUUGGUCUCAAGAUACAGUUGCUUCAACUCUUUAUCUGUGAGAAAACAAUCCUCACUAUUGAUCAUAUGUGAAUUCCUGAGGCAUGAUCUUACUCCAAACAUUCAUGAUGCAAUUUCUCCUUAAUGAAAUUCCUACAUUUGAGUUUCUGACCCAACGAUUCACAGGAUAGUAUGAUUCCUACUUUUUUAAAGCCUAUUCCUAGGUCUGGGACAAUGGUGUGCUUUUGCCUGGCUCCCUCUUAUUGUGUUUUCUUUUUAAAGAUCUUUAUUUUUCUGUUGUCCUGGACAGCCUCUAUUUACUUGGACCCUGAUACUGAUGAUAGUUACUAGCUUGCUUAAAUUUCUGAGUGUCUCUCUUUUGCAUUUCCCAUCUCAAUAUUUAAGGCAUACUUUGGAAAACUGUAUUAGAUAAGAUACUUUGGGCAAUGCCAGAAAAAAGCAAACAAAUAACUCUCAAACUAAGAGAAAUGUGUUGGCUUAAAAACGGAAAAUCCAAAGAUAAAUCUAUAUUUAAGUUGGAUGUAGAAAUUUAGCAAUACCAUCAUUCCUGGCUUCUGCAGUUCCCUGUGACUUCCAGGAUCAUUUCUUCAUCCCAGGAAUCUGCAUGGUUUUCCCAGUCCCACCAGCAACUCUGUAUAGUCCUAUGUGGUAGCAAAAUUUCUCCAAAGGAAGUCUAGCUUUCACAUCAUUUGUUCAAGAGUAGAGAAAGAGCCUCUUUCUGAAGUCUCUGCAAAGUCCGUGGAUUUCCUUCACUGGUCUCAAUUAGAUUUAUGUCUAUUUCUAAACCAAUUAUUGGUUUUAAAGCAGUAGUUGCAGUGAAAUUUUAAGCCAUUCAGCAUCCUCUGCUAGAGCUAGGGUGGGAUCAAUUACACAAGUUUGUGAGAUUUUCUUCUAAAGAAUACCAGAGAAAAAAAAUCUAGAUGCUACAGAAGUGAACCAGUGUCCCUAAAAGUGGGCUGCAACUGUCUGCAGAAGGUGAUUAAGUUACCAUGCCUUUCUAGGCCUCUUGGCUUGCCCACUGAACUCAAUGUUAUUGAUACUUCGUUCAUCUGGAAUUUGCCCCCAAACAGGCCCUGACAUAGGCGGUAAGUCUUUAUCAUCUUCUAACCCUCUUUUACACCCUCCCUCAUUUGCUUCAAUUAAGUCACUAGAGUCAGUAAUGAAUAAGAAAAUUCGGAACUCAUGAAUGAGGACAGUGGUUCAAGUCCAGAUAAUAAGAUCAACUGGUGAAAGAGCAUCUCCAGACAUUCACAUGGAUCAAGAAAGAACUACAGAGAUGUGGUGCCCUCAACAGGUAUUAGUGAUUCUAGACCUUUGCUAUUGAAGUGAUUUGAAGUAGCAACUGAAUUUCUUUGGAAGCUAUCUCCAGACUUUAUGUUUUGAAAAGUUCAGUGCUUGUUUUUUAACCUUCAUAUUUCUACAUUAUAAAAAGUGUUUGAGAAAACUCCUUCCUUAUUUCUCACUGCAAUUAUUUGAUGAUUUUGAAGUCCUAGUACUUAAAUAAGAGGAAGUUGUAGAAGAGCAUGCUAUUUUCCAAUAGCAGCAAUAGUUUAAACAAAUAUUCAAAUGUUUUUGAAAAUAAAUGUAUUUAUUGAUAAAAUAUUCUUAGAGAUAAGUGAUUUUUAUUUAUAAAACUGAACUUCAUAUAGCAAAUUAAAUAUAAAUUAUUCAGCAAGUGUCUAAUAUUUGUUUUAUAUUCACAGAAUAUUAAUUUUUCAUUUGUUUCACUAGACAAAUGAAAAAGCAUUUAUUGAUUCUUGGCAAAUGCACCACUUUUGCAUAAAGAAUGGACAAAGAAAACAUACACCAUAUAUGCAUUCAAUUUGUACAUGUAUUUGAGUAGCAGAAAAGCAUAAACAUUCAAAUAUAAUAGAAAAUACAAUAUAAGAAUAAAAUAUGGGUGGCAUCCUGACCAAGCCUUAAAAUAGUUUAGAUAAUAACAAUUAUUAAACUAUUUCUAGUAACAAAAACAGAUGUAUGGAUUUAAAAUAAUACAAUUUUAGGAGUUCAACUGGUGAAAAAGCAUGACUACAAAACUAGUAAAUAAAUUAAUUAAAAAUCAUUAUUUAAAUAAUGUGAAUUAAAGGGCAUUAAUUAAAACAAAUUCCAAUUAAACGUAUUUGUAAAACUAUUCUAAAUGUACACAAAGCGAGUUCCUUGACUUUCAAAAUUGUUCAGGAAAUUAGUCCCCCCAAAAUCGGCUGCUUGAAUUAUAAAAUAUAAAACUUCCAAAUACAAAUACCUGAGUAACUACAAAGAGUACAAAGAAGUAGUGUUUAGAAAUAGACAAGCUGGAAUCAAUGUUCUCCCUAUUUUUUUUUUUUUCUCUUUUUAUGCCCAUACACUGACUAUAUGGAUGUUCCUGGGCUAGGUAUCUAUUCAGAGCUAUAGCUGUGGGCCUGUGCCACAACUAGAGCAACACUGGAUCCAAGCCACACGUAUGAGCUGUGCCACAGCUUGCGGCCACACCAGAUCCUUAACCAACCAAGUGAGGUCAGGGAUCAAACUCGCAUCCUCGUGGAGACUAUGUUGGGUUCUUAACCCACUGAGCCAAAAUGGGAACUCCAAUGUUCUUUUUCCAUCUAGCUUUCUUUUUAAUGUUGCUAAAUAAAACAUACACGGUAUGAUUCAAUUUGUAGCUUUUUUUCUGACACUUGUUCUGACCUUUCUUUGCCUUCAAUGUCAGCCAUGAUACAUAGACAUGAAUAUAGCUCCUAUCCUUUCAAAUACAAACUUGUACUAUACUAUAAUAACUUUUGACAUUCCUAGCCAUUUCAACAUUCUAAUAACUAAAUAGUUUAAAGGUAACAGUCAAAAAGCAUGAACAACACUUUGAUUAACUAUGUCUUGAUGUUUUAAAACUUGAGGAGUCUAAUCUGAAAUAUCCUUCAUCAUAACCUAGGUAGAUAAGGGGAGAGUGAGACUUCAAUAGCCCACUAGACAGGUUGGAUGACAGCCAGAUGAGGCAAUGUUCUAACGGCUGUCAGUGACCUUGGCGUGAAUUUUGCAAAGGUACAAAUUUCUCUGUCUCAGACAGGCAGUUCUGUGAUUAAGUAAGUAAGCACACCCACGGAGCUACAGAGCUUGAUAAACACAUGUUGGCUGUAAACAAUAUCCUUUCUCUAAGGGACUUUUCGUAGAAUGCUGACUAUGGAGCAAGAUUUAUGGUAUAAUAGUCUGUAUCUCAUAUGUUAGAAGCGCUCCAAUAACUGGAGUGAAUUUAUGCAACUUAGAUUAAAUAGUGAAAAAAACAAAACCUUGUAGCUUUCCGUUCGCUUGAAGCAAGAUAUAAUUCUUUUACUUUUCUUUAAUGUUGCUUCCUUUGAGCAAUGUUCCCUUUUAACCAUAUAGGAAAAAAAAAUCAAGAAAUGGACACAGUAAGCAAGUACAUAUGUCAGUGUAUUUGUCAAAGAAGAGUUCUCAUUUUCCCUGGAUGUUUAUAGUCUGCGACAAACAUAAAAUUUCUUGAGUAGAAUACUAAAUAAAUUUAUGAGUGAUUCUUAGCUAAAGAAAUAUUGGAGUGGACAAAAGUCAAAUAAUUACACAGCUAUACAUCCAGUCAUGGAUAUAGGGCCUAAUGGGAGGGAGCAAUAUUGUGAGUGGACAUAGUAGGAUAUCUGUGAGGUAAGAUAAUAAAUGCAAUUUAUUUUUCAUCUAAGUGAGUUUUCUCAUUUGGUUCUUUUUGAAACUCUUACAAACUAGCUAAGCCAGAGAACAAUACAGACUAGACUUUUUAACCAAACUAGUGUCUAAUGGAAUGCUUGUUAUUUAAUAAGCUUAUACUAAAACAUAGACCAAAUAUACAGAUUAUGGCAACUGAAUAAAUAAAAGGCUUCAUAAAUAAAGGUCCAGUGUGUGUAUGUCUAUGUCUGUGUAAAUUUUAUGUGUGUGCAUAUGUUGUUGCAGAAAUUGGAAGAUACGCUUAGCAAAGAGAUAGUAAGCCUGACUUUCAAAGGCACCAGUAUGAGUUUCAUUUAUUUCAAUUUUUUUAAACCAAUGAAUUUUAAAAUUGUAUUUUAUUUAUAUUUUUGAGUUAAAGAUUUCUUUAUUUUUAUUUUAUGUAAAUUUUAUUGGCGCUUAGUUGACUUACAAUGUUGUAUAGUUACAGAUAUACAGCAAAGUGAAUCAGUUAUACAUAUGCAUAUAUCCAUUCUUUUUUUCCCAUAUAGGUUAUUACAGAAUAUUGAGUAGAUUUCCGUGUGCUAUACGGUAGGUCCUUAUUAGUUAAUAUUCAGUCUGGCAAUGAGCAUAGAAUAAGACAUACAUUAAUUAUUAAUUAAGUAAAGAAAGAAAAGAUGAAUGAAUUAAGAUUCAUAAUCCUAUAGAAUUUUAACUAUUAUUGAUUACUACAUAAACUGGUUUAUUAUAAUACAACUAAUAAGCCCACUUUAAAACAAUGGUUAGCUAAGUAAUUGCUUAGAGAAUUGAAAAAUUAAACCCAUGAAUAUCACAAUCUGUGGACAUAGCAGGUAUUAUCCUUUAGAGCUAUGUCCUUAGCCUGAAAAUAUUGUUAUAUUAUCAAAAUAUUUUCAGUAAGAUAUAGAAUGAUGCACUUUGGGUACAAAUGCCAAAAUCUAGACAGAAGGAGCUAGGAUUUCUUGUGACUUUGAAACACUGGGGGAUAAUCAGUGAUGUUGUAUUCACAAGGGAUAUGUGUGGUAGAAGAUAGCUUACUAGGCACAAAUCAUGUUGGUGUGAAACCAGGUAAUGUGAAUAAGCAGUGUGAUUUUACUGAAAGCUCUGAAUCUUAUGUAUUGUUUUUUUUUUUUUUUUAAACAGUGGCAUUUGUUCAUUUUAAAACAAACAACAACAACAAACCACUUGAAUGUUCUUCUAGCAGGAUGACUACAAGUACAUAUUGAAAAACAAGUAUCAGUUUGAAUAAAAAUGAGUGUGCAGUUUAAUUCUUACUUUUCAAAAUUGAUGGGAUGGACAUGUGUAAGACUCAGAGAUACCAACUAAAAUGAUUAAUGUCCUGAAAACCAGGACCUCUGAAGAAGGGUUCAAGGAGUUACUGACACUUAGUUUGAGAAAA